UGGGGAAUAUUGGACAAUGGGCGCAAGCCUGAUCCAGCAAUGCCGCGUGAGUGAAGAAGGUCUUCGGAUUGUAAAGCUCUUUCGACGGGGACGAUGAUGACGGUACCCGUAGAAGAAGCACCGGCUAACUCUGUGCCAGCAGCCGCGGUAAUACAGAGGGUGCGAGCGUUAAUCGGAAUUACUGGGCGUAAAGCGCGCGUAGACGGUUUUGUAAGUCAGAUGUGAAAUCCCUGGGCUCAACCUGGGAACUGCAUUUGAAACUGCAUGGCUAGAGUAUCGAAGAGGGAAGUGGAAUUUCCGGUGUAGCGGUGAAAUGCGUAGAUAUCGGAAGGAACACCAGUGGCGAAAGCGACUUCCUGGUCGAAUACUGACGUUCAUGUGCGAAAGCGUGGGGAGCAAACAGGAUUAGAUACCCUGGUAGUCCACGCCAUAAACGAUGACAACUAGAUGUUGGGAGGGUCUGCCUCUCGGUGUCGCAGCUAACGCG
rnacentral:rRNA from 1 species